CUGUGAUGGUGGCCUGCAUUAGAUGCUGGAAGACAUGUAGAACUGAGUGAAAUUUAUCUCUGUCCUCAGGGAGGUGAUGGCUCCAUUAAAGUGUCCAGAGGUGAGUGAUGGAGAGGGAAGUUGGAGAGGAGGUCUUGGAUUUGGGGGCAGUCUCUUGUAAUCAUUGUCACUAGUGGUUCCAGGCUCUGUCAUAGAAGUGAUCUUUGAAAUCCUCAAAGCCCAACAAUUACUUUUUCCCUUUUUAUAUACCAAUCCCUUUUUCACUAAUAUUAUGUGGUUGGAUAGAGAUUUUUGAGGGUUAGACUAUAUCCUGUUUGUACUGUAUGCCUCACUCCAUUAAUACAAUUCUGCAUACAAAAUUGGUGUUAUCCCUAUAAAUAUAUGUAAUUAUUGUUUGUCAAUUAAAAGAAAGUACUUAAUGCAUUUUUAUUGAGUCAGCAUGUUGGCAGCAGUAAGAGAGCUCUGGCUGGGACACCUGAGGCCCCAUGAUUGCUAGGGCUCCGUGGUUGAUCUGGAAGGCGGGCUAAGUGUCCUGACUGAGGUGAUCUUCCUUUACGAGAACUCAUCUCAAACCAAGGGCAUAGGAGCAGCCACACUUAAGAUCAACUGUCCUUAAGCACAGCAUCAUGAUACGCUGGAUUACCCAAUCACUUGUAAGGAAAGACAGAGAUGAAGUUAUCCUGACUACUGAGAUGAGCAGUUUACCCUAGGAGGACCUAUGAGACUAUAUUUUGGUAAAGAAAAGUUGAGCUGCUCUGUGGGAGUGAGGUUCCAAUGAAGCCAAAUGUACAAGGUAUGUGUUCUAUGGCGUAAAGACCCGUAGAUGAUAUCACAACGGCAUGAGAAAGGUUCAAAGAUACAUGUUAUCUGGGGGAGCCUAGGGGAUGGGGUGACUGCUAAAGGGUGCGGGGUUUGUUUCUGGGGUGAUAAAAGUGUUGUAAAAUUGGUCAUGGUGAUAGUUACACAACUCUGUGGAUAAAAAGCAUUGAACUAUACACUUUUAAACGGGGGGACUGUAUGGUAUGCAAAUUAUAUCUUAAUAAAGAAGUUA